UAUGCUAACUAAGGUAUUGGAUAUGUAGAAAAAGGUACAUUUUGCAGGAAAAAAAGAUGUAACUUACAGUAUUUGGCACAUGAAAGGUUAAUCUCUAGGUUUUCUUUAUGAAAACUAAGAAAUUCACAUUUUCAGGUAUUGUACUGUCUACUGCUGAAAGAUGCAGUAUGCUAGGACGAGAUUCACGGGUUUCUGAUCUCAGAACCUAUGGAAACAACAUUUUGAUAGAAACACGGGUGAAACUAACAGGGCCUGAAACACGGGGCAGGGCCUGGGACAGACGGGAGAAACGUACGAGGAAAAUCACCAAUUCUGUGUUCUGCAGAAAAACAAAACGCUGGGUGGCAAGGCAGAGGUGAGGGGCUGGCACAGAGCCUCACCCCGGGAGAGCCACGGGGAGGGCCCAGGAUGGAGCUGUGCUGUCACAUCACACAGAACAUCGCAGUGAGGAGAGGAGGAGGAGGAGGAGGAGGAGGAAGGACGACACUGCAGCGUUAACCCAGGGGAAAAACGUCACAACUGCAUAGAAACAUCAGCGCUAUGGGCUGAGCUGACCAGAACUGGCUGUUAUUGCUCCCUGUGGAUGGGCUGCUGCUCCUGGUGACCAACAGUCCCGGGGUCGCCUCCCAUGAGUUGGGUUUAUUGACUUGCACUCAAAGGUUGAAGGUGUCCCUUGGCUUCUCCAGUGUCACCUGCUUCUGAACUUGUGUCCUCUUGGCAAGAGUCCCAAAACCAGAGUCCUUGUGUGUGCCAAACCUGGCUGGUGUUGGGCUUGGUGUUGGUUCACUCAAACCAUUGCUCACUGGGAGCCGCUCGGUCCCGGCACCCACGGUCACCCCAUCCGUAAAGUAAAAAAAGACUGGAUUAGAUUUGAUAACAAAAUAGCAUUUCCUUGUUAAAAUAGACCUUGAAAUGUCUCUUUUGUUUGUUGGGUUUUUUUUGUUCUUUUUGCUUGGUUUUUUGUUUUUUUUUACAAAACAGGUACGCCUGGCGGAGGGUAGAGGUCAUCCCAAUAAAUGUGACACAGUCGCUGCAGCUCCACGUCCCC